rnacentral:tRNA from 1 species
GGUAGAAGGAUGGCUAUACUGGAAACUACGGGCUGUAAGCCUACC